UUAAGUGACGAUAGCCUAGGAGAUACACCUGUUCCCAUGCCGAACACAGAAGUUAAGCCCUAGCACGCCUGAUGUAGUUGGGGGUUGUCCCCUGUUAGAUAUGGUAGUCGCUUAGC
rfam:Streptococcus lutetiensis 033, complete genome.